CGACCCCCCCCCUGCACACUCGUCUCUCUCUCUCUCCUCCGCGACACCACCGCACAUCAGUCUUACCUUUCUGCCCGUCACUAUUGCCUCGCCCGUCGCCGUCGCCGCCGCGAACUCACCCCACCAGCAGGCCUCCAUCGCUGACCCACAUUCUUUCUCUCGCUCCUGCGUGUGUGUGUCUGGUGUAGAACUCGUUCCUCGGAGCUCAGUAAGGACGAUAUCACGGACAUAAGAAGAGGAUUAUUAUUAUCAUUCUGCAAUCAAGAAUGUCGACCGUUGAUGUCAACAACGAUGUUACAAACGGUGCUGAAAUGUGCACGUGGAGGAUGUGCAUAUAGAGGAUGACCAGGAUGAUGAUUAUGAACCUUUAGACAGAAAUGCAGAAAGGAUGGAAAGGUUAGAAAAUAUGAUCACUAUGUUAGUUGAGUUAAUCCAAGAAUCCCGGAGGAAGGUAGUUACCAAUGAAAAUGAGAGCGCUGCGAUGUUCAAAAAGUUCUCAUCUCUUAACCCACCUUCAUAUGAUGGUAAGCCUGAUCCAGUGGCGUUUAAAGAUUGGAUUAAUCGCAUUGACCAUCCGUUUGAAACCUUGCAAUGCCCUGAGAAAUGGAGGGUAGACUUUGCUGUAUUUUAUCUCACGGGCCAAGCAAGCUUAUGGUGGAAGAUUGCUAAAAGAAAGAAAAAUGAACCUGGUUUUGGAUGGAGCAAACUUCAAGAUUUGAUGCGAGAUAAAUUUUAUCCUCCCUCACUUAGGAAGCAGAAAGAAGAUGAAUUCCUUCAAUUACAGCAAGGUACAAUGAGUGUUUUGGAAUAUGCUAAUAAGUUCAUGGAGCUUUUAAGAUUCGCACCUGAGCUGGUAACUAUGAGCAGUCAAGGAUGAACCGUUUUGAGCGAGGUCUUCAGCUCAAAUAUCAUGAUAGGUUGGCAUCUCAAAGGUUCACUUCAUACCAGGAUAUGGUUGAUGUUGUUGUUAAUGUGGAACGCGUAGUAUUGCUCCGAGAAUCUCAUAAUAGUAACUUUAAAGGAGGAAU